GACAGAGGGUGCAAACGUUGCUCGGAAUUACUGGGCGUAAAGCGCGUGUAGGCGGACCACCAAGUCGGACGUGAAAGCCCUGAGCUCAACUCAGGAACUGCAUCCGAAACUGGCGGUCUGGAGUAGUGGAGAGGAAAGCAGAAUUCCUGGUGUAGAGGUGAAAUUCGUAGAUAUCAGGAGGAACACCGGUGGCGAAGGCGGCUUUCUGGACACUUACUGACGCUGAGACGCGAAAGCGUGGGGAGCAAACAGG
rnacentral:rRNA from 3 species